rnacentral:piRNA from 1 species
UAGUAAAGAGUGUCUAGAGGGCCGGC